UGCGCAGGCGGCCGUGUGUGUGGGGCGUGAAAGCCCGGGGCUUAACCCCGGAAUUGCACUCCAAACUACACGGCUAGAGUACUGGAGAGGGUAACGGAAUUCACGGUGUAGCAGUGAAAUGCGUAGAUAUCGUGAGGAACACCAGAGGCGAAGGCGGUUACCUGGACAGUUACUGACGCUCAGGCACGAAAGCGUGGGGAGCAAAAGGGAUUAGAUACCCCUGUAGUCCACGCCCUAAACGGUGCACACUAGGUCUUGGCGGAUUCGACCCCCCCAGGGCCCAAGCUAACGCGUUAAGUGUGCCGCCUGAGGACUACGGCCGCAAGGCUAAA
rnacentral:rRNA from 1 species